AGAGUUUGAUCCUGGCUCAGGAUGAACGCUAGCGGCAGGCUUAACACAUGCAAGUCGAGGGACAGCAUAAAAGUAGCAAUACUUUGGUGGCGACCGGCGCACGGGUGAGUAACGCGUAUGCAACCUACCUAUCAGAGGGGAAUAUCCCGGCGAAAGUCGGACUAAUACCGCAUAAAACAGGGGCACCGCAUGGUGAUAUUUGUUAAAGAAAUUCGCUGAUAGAUGGGCAUGCGUUCCAUUAGGUAGUUGGUGAGGUAACGGCUCACCAAGCCGACGAUGGAUAGGGGAACUGAGAGGUUGGUCCCCCACACUGGUACUGAGACACGGACCAGACUCCUACGGGAGGCAGCAGUGAGGAAUAUUGGUCAAUGGGCGAGAGCCUGAACCAGCCAAGUCGCGUGAAGGAAGAAGGAUCUAUGGUUCGUAAACUUCUUUUGCAGGGGAAUAAAGUGCAGGACGUGUCCUGUUUUGUAUGUACCCUGAGAAUAAGGAUCGGCUAACUCCGUGCCAGCAGCCGCGGUAAUACGGAGGAUCCGAGCGUUAUCCGGAUUUAUUGGGUUUAAAGGGUGCGUAGGUGGUUUGAUAAGUCAGCGGUGAAAGUUUGCAGCUUAACUGUAAAAAUGCCGUUGAAACUGUCGGACUUGAGUGUAAAUGAGGUAGGCGGAAUGCGUGGUGUAGCGGUGAAAUGCAUAGAUAUCACGCAGAACUCCGAUUGCGAAGGCAGCUUACUAAGCUACAACUGACACUGAAGCACGAAAGCGUGGGGAUCAAACAGGAUUAGAUACCCUGGUAGUCG
rnacentral:rRNA from 1 species